GACGAACGCUGGCGGCGCGCUCAACACAUGCAAGUCGAACGGAAAGGCCUGCUUUCCCUUGUGGAUUGCGGGUACUCGAGUGGCGAACGGGUGAGUAACACGUGAGUGAUCUGCCCCCAACUUGGGUAUAAGCCUGGGAAACUGGGUCUAAUUCCCGAUAGGACUGCAGGGUGGUGCCUGUGGUGGAAAACGAUUUUCUAGUGGUUGGGGAUGAGCUCGCGGCCUAUCAGCUUGUUGGUGGGGUAAUGGCCUACCAAGGCGGCGACGGGUAGCCGGCCUGAGAGGGUGGACGGCCACAUUGGGACUGAGAUACGGCCCAGACUCCUACGGGAGGCAGCAGUGGGGAAUAUUGCACAAUGGGCGGAAGCCUGAUGCAGCGACGCCGCGUGGGGGAUGACGGCCUUCGGGUUGUAAACUCCUUUCGACCGCGAGGAAGCCACCUGGUUGGAAGGGUGGUGACGGUAGUGGUAGAAGAAGCACCGGCUAACUACGUG
rnacentral:rRNA from 1 species